CCUACGGGAGGCAGCAGUAGGGAAUCUUGCGCAAUGGGCGAAAGCCUGACGCAGCCAUGCCGCGUGAAUGAUGAAGGUCUUAGGAUUGUAAAAUUCUUUCACCGGGGAAGAUAAUGACGGUACCCGGAGAAGAAGCCCCGGCUAACUUCGUGCCAGCAGCCGCGGUAAUACGAAGGGGGGCUAGCGUUGCUCGGAAUUACUGGGCGUAAAGGGCGCGUAGGCGGAUAGUUUAGUCAGAGGUGAAAGCCCAGGGCUCAACCUUGGAAUUGCCUUUGAUACUGGCUAUCUUGAGUUCGGGAGAGGUGAGUGGAAUGCCGAGUGUAGAGGUGAAAUUCGUAGAUAUUCGGCGGAACACCAGUGGCGAAGGCGACUCACUGGCCCGAUACUGACGCUGAGGCGCGAAAGCGUGGGGAGCAAACAGGAUUAGAUACCCUGGUAGUCCACGCUGUAAACGAUGAGUGCUAGUUGUCGGCAUGCAUGCAUGUCGGUGACGCAGCUAACGCAUUAAGCACUCCGCCUGGGGAGUACGGUCGCAAGAUUAAAACUCAAAGGAAUUGACGG
rnacentral:rRNA from 1 species